rnacentral:rRNA from 1 species
GAUGAACGCUGGCGGCGUGCCUAAUACAUGCAAGUCGAGCGCCCCGCAAGGGGAGCGGCAGACGGGUGAGUAACGCGUGGGAACGUACCCUUUGCUACGGAAUAGCUCCGGGAAACUGGAAUUAAUACCGUAUGUGCCCUACGGGGGAAAGAUUUAUCGGCAAAGGAUCGGCCCGCGUUGGAUUAGCUAGUUGGUGGGGUAAAGGCCCACCAAGGCGACGAUCCAUAGCUGGUCUGAGAGGAUGAUCAGCCACACUGGGACUGAGACACGGCCCAGACUCCUACGGGAGGCAGCAGUGGGGAAUAUUGGACAAUGGGCGCAAGCCUGAUCCAGCAAUGCCGCGUGAGUGAUGAAGGCCUUAGGGUUGUAAAGCUCUUUUACCCGGGAAGAUAAUGACUGUACCGGGAGAAUAAGCCCCGGCUAACUCCGUGCCAGCCGCCGCAGUAACAC